UUAAACCACGUCCCCUUCGCGUUAAACCAUGCCCCUUUCUCUCUAAACCCCGCCCACUCUGCGUAAACCACGCCCCCUUUCCCCUCAGGUAACCUCACCCUGUGGCGGGAGCUGCGGGGCUGCGUCCCCGAUGGCGGCUGCGCCCCCGAGCGCCGCGGCGACGCCGACGCCUCAUUGGCCGGCUCCUGUUGCCGCGGCGACCUCUGCAACGACAAGAUGGCCGACAGGAGUUUGUUCUCGCCCGAUCUGCCCCGGCUGGAGCUGCUGCCGCACGGCCACGCCCCCACGGCCACGCCCAAUAACGCCACGGAGGAUGGGGGCGGGAAAAAUGGCACCCGCGGCAAGAUGGCUGCCGCUGAUGGUGGCAAUAUGGCCGCCGGUGAUGAUGUGGGCAAUAGUGAUGGGAAAAUGGCGGCGCCUGAGCGUGAUGUGGGCACCAGUGGGAAGAGGGCUGCUGGGGGCAAGAUGGCCGCCGGGGGCAAGAUGGCUGACGGGGACAAAAUGGCUGACGGGGGCAGGAUGGUCACCAGGGGCAAGAUGGCUGCUGGGGACAAGAUGGCUGCUGGGGAGGGCAAGGUGGCUGAUGGGGACAAGAUGGCUGACGGAAACAAGAUGGCUGACGGAGACAAGAUGGCUGACGGAGACAAAAUGGCUGACGGAAACAAGAUGGCUGAUGAAAACAAGAUGGCUGACGGAGACAAAAUGGCGGACGGAGACAAAAUGGCUGACGGAGACAAUAUGGCCGCCGGUCACGUGGCCCCCAGGCGGCCAAUGGGGCGCAAGGACGGGAUCAAGGGCCCGGUGGGGCGGGGCCAAUCGCUGGGCGGGCCCGGGUGGCUCCUCCCCUUCGUGCUGCUGCCCCUCCUCCGCUGAGGGCGGGGCUUGUGCUGCAAUAAAUGGGUGUGGCUUGAGCAGCGGUGCCGGAGUCGUUUUUUGGGGAGAAAAUUGGGAUUUUUGAGGAAAGUUUGCUGAUUAAAAAUGGAUAAUUUUGGGGUUAAAUAUGUGAUGGGUUUUGAAUUUUUUCCUUGUUUUUGUUUUGCUUUUUGUUAUUUUAUAAAUGAUUUUUCAUAAUAUUUUUCCAUUAUUAUUAUAAUUAUACUAUUAAUAAUUAUUAUAUUAUUAUUCAUAGUAAUAAUAAUAAUAAUAAUAUUAAUAUUAUUAUUAUUAAUAUCCCCUAAAGUCAUAAUUGCCAAUAUAAUUACCUACUAUUAAUAUAUUUAAAUAAUACUAAUUUUUAUUCACUUUAAUCAGUGAUUAUAAUUGAGGGUAAUAUUAUUAUUAUUUUUAUUAUUAUUACUACUACUACUACUAUUAUUAGCAUUCUUUUACCCUCAAGUUAUGAUUACUAAUAUAAUUUAAUUUUAUUAUUAUAAAUAUUAUAAUUAUAAUUAUAUUCUCAUAAUAAUUACAUAAUAAUAAAUAAUAUUAUUAUUUCA
rnacentral:lncRNA from 1 species